rnacentral:rRNA from 1 species
UGGGGAAUUUUGGACAAUGGGGGCAACCCUGAUCCAGCAAUGCCGCGUGUGUGAAGAAGGCCUUCGGGUUGUAAAGCACUUUUGUCAGGGAAGAAACGGUGAAGGCUAAUAUCCUUUGCUAAUGACGGUACCUGAAGAAUAAGCACCGGCUAACUACGUGCCAGCAGCCGCGGUAAUACGUAGGGUGCGAGCGUUAAUCGGAAUUACUGGGCGUAAAGCGUGCGCAGGCGGUUUUGUAAGACAGAUGUGAAAUCCCCGGGCUUAACCUGGGAACUGCGUUUGUGACUGCAAGGCUGGAGUACGGCAGAGGGUGGUGGAAUUCCACGUGUAGCAGUGAAAUGCGUAGAGAUGUGGAGGAACACCGAUGGCGAAGGCAGCCCCCUGGGCCUGUACUGACGCUCAUGCACGAAAGCGUGGGGAGCAAACA